AGCUUUGCACAGUGACUACAGAUUGUAGUCAAUGAGGUUUAUCCAGGGUGAGAGUAUUGCUAAUUGAAAACCUUUCCCAAUACUUCACCAUGACGACUAGAAAUAUAGUUGGCAUUGACAAUUUUUUGAGUCUCUGCAAGGC
rnacentral:snRNA from 1 species